rnacentral:tRNA from 1 species
GCGGAUAUAGCUCAGUUGUGAGAGUGUAUGACUAUAGACCGAAAGGCCCCUGGUUCGAUCCCGGGCUCGGCG